rnacentral:rRNA from 1 species
AUUGAACGCUGGCGGUAUGCUUAAGACAUGCAAGUCGAACGGUAACAGGUUAAGCUGACGAGUGGCGGACGAGUGAGUAACGCGUGGGAAUCUACCUUGUAGUGGGGGAUAAGCCAGGGAAACUUGGACUAAUACCGCAUACGCCCUAAGGGGGAAAGGCGCAAGUCGCUAUAAGAUGAGCCCGCGUCUGAUUAGGUAGUUGGUGGGGUAAAGGCCUACCAAGCCGACGAUCAGUAGCUGGUCUGAGAGGAUGAUCAGCCACGUCGGGACUGAGACACGGCCCGGACUCCUACGGGAGGCAGCAGUGGGGAAUUUUGGACAAUGGGCGAAAGCCUGAUCCAGCCAUGCCGCGUGAGUGAAGAAGGCCUUCGGGUUGUAAAGCUCUUUCGGUGGGGAAGAAAUUGCAUAGGCUAAUACCCUGUGUAGAUGACGGUACCUGGAGAAGAAGCACCGGCUAACUACGUG